UUUGCCCAUAAUAAAGUCAUCAGUAUGUUUGUGGCUGUAACCGGGCCAGUCAUUUCUCGGCUUCCCACCCACGCACCUUGGUGCCGCGGAUCUGCAGGUAUCCCUGGUCGCUCGCUGCGUGGACUGGCUCAGAGAUGCAGGGGGGAGUGGAGAUCAUGGCAAGGAGCAGCGGUCCGCGCGCCCCGGGCCCGGGACCUGCCUGCCUGGGGUCAGCGCCACGCGCCUGAGCUUCCGCCGCGACACAGGCUGCCCAGGUUUUUUUCCAAGGGCAUCUGGAAGAGACUCGGGGAGGGUCCCGACGAACCACGUGGUGAUCCCUGGAGGCCGAGCUGAGGCGCGUGGGCGGAAACGACCCCUGGUCUCUGCUUUCUGCUUGAAAUGCUCGGCUCUGCACAUACCACAAGUUUUUUCAGAGGUUAGCCAGAUUUGCAUCUUUCUCCCCCAAGCUAGAGGAAGUGCUGGAGGAAGUCACGGAUUAAAAGAAUGGGGCGCAGGCUUAGGUUAGGGGCUCUUCUUGGCAGCUUUCCCUUUUAGCUAGAAACCCCAAUUACCUUUACGCUGUUAACCCUCGACGGCACGGGUCAGUGGUGUACCCACUUGGAGUUCAUUAUCUCAGAAAGCCCUUUCUCUCCCUUUAAACACGAGCUUUAAACUAAUCAGCUGCCGUUGUCCAGUGAUUCAGCUCCAGCUCCCUGGGGGGACACCAGCAAAUCACAGGACAGCUGCUCUUAACACGGAGAAUGUAGAGCUGCGCACAGGGUGUUGGGGGAAGGUCAUGGCCGUGGCACUGGAAGGGAGGGCCAGAGGAGAGAGGAGGUCUGGAUGGCCCUUUCGCUUUCGCCUUGGGAACGAGGAUGAGCCUGUCUUUGAUGCCUUGACUGGUUCUGCACUCUUUUCCUCCUGUCCUAAAUUCAGCGACGUGAUACGUAUUUAAGGAGUCGGCCAAACCUCAAAUUACACUGAGAACCGAGCCACUGCAAAGAAAGCGGUUCGAUUAUUGGCAUGAAACAACAGGACGCUGGCGCGUGGAGAAACCACUAGUAAAAGUGGAAGGAAAUGGCUUCGGAAGCUACGGUUACCUGUGUAAAGGAAGCUCAAGUACCUACCAUCCAUUUCUGAUCAAGCCUGAAAAGCUUGAAGAUAGUCCAAUGGAAUUACAAUGCAGAAAACAGAAGCAAAAUCAAUAUGAGGUAUUUAUGGACUGAAUGUUUGUGUGCCCCUCAAAUCCAUAUGGUAAAGCCUUAACCCCCAGGGUGGCCAAUUUGGAGUUUGAGCUUUGCAGGAAAUAAUUAAGGCUAAAUGAGGUCAUAAAGGCGGGACUCUGAUCCCAUAGGAUGAAUGUCGUCUUAAGAAGAAGGUCUAGAGAGCUCACUGUCUCUGCACACGAGUGUGCUCACAGACAGGGAAAGGCCAUGUGGGUACACAGUGAGAAGGCGUGCCAUCCAAAGCCCAAAGGGAAAGCUCUCAACCAGACACCAACCAUGCCAGCACCUUGAUCUUGGACUUCAGCCUGUGAAAAAUAAGCUUCUGUUGUUUAAGCCACCCAGUCUAUGGUAUUUUGUUAUGGCGGCCCCAGCUCUCUGGGUCCCCGCCUGCAGGCUAUCCCACACUCCCUACGGGCCAUCGCAUGGUCACUCUUGCCUGCCCUGGACUGGCCAGAGCAGCUCACGUGCUGGCUCAGAGACCCUCCGUCUCUUGCUCCUCCCUGUCUCUUGGCCCCAGGCAGAGAGAGGAAAAUGCCAUAAUGCCAUAAACGAGCUCUACAAAGACCUCCCUGUCCAAAAUGAAGAUGGGUUUUUAUUUGACAUCUCUGUCUGAAGCAGUUUCAUCUGGAUGACACCGCUGGCUUUUCCAAGAACCAGCCUCGUUGGGGAAAAGGGAGCAUCUCUCUAUCAGCCUUCUACCCUCGAAUGCAGAAGGCAAUGCAGCUUCUUUUUCCUUUAAUAAUAAGAAAAAUUUUAGACAUUUACAAAAUUGAUAGAAUAGUACAAGGAGUGCUCACAUACCCUUUACCUAGCCUGAACAAUUGCCAGCAUUGGCCUUGUUUGCUUUAUCUACAUACAUGUAGCUCUCUCUCUCUCUCUGUGUGUGUGUGUGUGUGUGUGUGUGUGUGCCUGUGUGUGUCUGUGUAUGUGUUUGACUGGUUCAUUUAAAAGUAAGUUUUACAGGAGCACCUGGAUGGCUCAGUCGGUUGAGCGGCCGACUUCAGCUCAGGCCAUGAUCUCACUGUGAGUUCAAGCCCCGUGUUGGGCUCUGUGCUGACAGCUCAGAGCCUGGAGCCUGCUUCAGAUUCUGUGUCUCCCUCUCUCUGCUCCUCCCCGCUCAAGCUCUCUCUCUCUUUCUCAAAAAUAAACAUUAAAUAUUUUUUAAAGUAAGUUGUACAAAUUGUGACACUUUAUCCCUAAACAUUACAGCUUGCACCCCCUAAGAAUAAGGACAUUUUACAAAUCACUACACCAUUAGCCUCUAGGGAAAGCAACAGUAUUUCCAUAAUACACACAACUUUUAAAAUAGCCCUUUCAUUGUUUCUGCUAUUCCGUCCUCACACCUGAGGCCACAAAACAGCAAGAGGUGUCAGUACUUGGGAAGGCCAGUGCCCAAUUCCCCCAACCACAUUGGGAAAUAAAGUUGCUAGGGUCUUAGGUGUAGGAUUAACUUAUGAUCAGAGCAGAGAUGGGUAAAGUUACCCAUCUGCAAGGGCUGCCAGAUCUUCAACAUAUGACUGGGUGUCCAGAUGAAAGGUAUUAACAUAUCUAAAGAAAAACCCUUUCUGGUCAGAAAAGGCCAGGAUCUGGAGCAAAGACCAGAUCCAGAAGCAAACGUUUCAGUGGCCAUCACGUGCCGUUAAGACUGCCUGCUCUCCUGGAUUGAACCAGACAUCUGGCUGUUUCAGCUUUCUGUCUGAUAAAACAAAAUGCUGCUUUUCAAAGGAAACCUGAAAAUGUCUAUGAAUGUCAAGAGGCUGUGAGUGGGAGCUCGGUGUUUCUGAUCCCUGCGUGGUGAGAGAGGCACAGAAUGGAUAUUCCAACUCGCUGGAGAUGCUCUCCCUGUGGCUCUAAAGUCAGAAGUAAAACUUGGUUUUCAGGGCAAGCUCUGUUCUGCUGUGCUCUCUGUCGGUCAUACGAUGUGAGAAAAGUGUAUGUUUAUGGGGUAGGUGGUAGUGCUGGGUAUAGGUGAGGCACCAAAUAUAAAUAUUAUAGAUAGGGCUGUUAGGUGUUCUGAGUUACAGUUUUCUCCCUGGGAGGUUUUGAAGGCAGCUUUUGUGGGGGCCCUGGAUGGGAGUCCAGGGACAGCAGGGAGGGGAGAGGCUCUCUGUUCUGAAGAUGUCACCUGGAUUUAACUGCACGGGUGGUGAUGGGUCAUAGACGUGGUGGCCGAUCAGUGUGGGGUUUUUUCACUUUUGGUUGUGCCUCACAAGCAAUCACUCCUACCCACCCCUUUUCAGAAGAAGGCCUGCAGGGCUCUUGGUUGUUGCCCCCAUCUUCCCCUCACCCAGACAGGAGAAGAGAUCUAGCUGGCCAGAGGUGGUGGCAGUGAGCAUGCGUGACUGGAAGGGAUGGGAGGAAGGCACUGCCAGGGUUUAUGGACGCCUGGGGGAAGCUGGGUGCCCAAAGGGGCCCGUUCGUUGUUUUACCUUCCAUUCAAACUCAAAAUUCAAACCAAUACUUAAAUCGUUAGGAACAAAAUUGUGCAACGUGGUUAGUUUGAGGAGUCUACUCAUUUGGCCAAUGGUCUAUUGACCCCUCAAGGAAGCCUCAGAAGCCAGUGAAUAAGAGCUGUGGAAGUGAAGCCCAGAAAGAUUUUUCUAGGACAUUUGCCAGCUACACAGCAUUGUCAGAAUAUGGUUGUAUUUCCAGGAAAAAAAAAAAAAAGCUGGUGGCAGGGAAUACCAUUAAUUAGUUAUUCCCGAGUGUCUUUGCAUCUUCUGGAGGAUUGUACUACACCCUACUUGGUCUGUUUGCUGUUUGGAAAUGGGGACAUGUGCCUCAGUGUGUGGGAUUCCUAUUAAACAUGAAAUUUGACCCCGCAAGUACUAUUGAAUCCCACAAGUAUUGUCCAUGUAGGAGUGGGCCUCAGCUAAUGGACUUCAAAUAUCCCAGUCCCAUUUGAAAGGCCCUCUCUGUAACAAGAAAGGUGAGCUGGCUCUCAUAGCAUGAUACCAUUUAACGUGGAGUGUUCUGAUUUCCCUUCAUUCAGAUUCCAUGCCGGAAAAACAACUCUUUUUAGCUGCCUGGGGCUAUUGUAACAAAGUACUACAAACUGGAUGGUUUCAAACACUAGAAACUUAUUUCUUUCACAGUUCUUGUGGCUGGAAGUCUGAAAUCAAGAUGUCUGCAGGGCCACACUCCCACCGAAAUGUGUAGGAGAGAAGGCUUCCUUGGCUCUUCUAGUUUCUGGUGUUUUCUGGCAAUCCUUGGUGUUCCUCGCUUCUAGAUGCAUCUCUCCAAUCUCUGCCCCUGUCGUCACAUGGCUGUGAUGUCUGUGUGUCUCUGUGUCUCUUCUUAUAAGGACACUAGUCAGAACGGACAGUCACCCUAUGACCUCAAUAUUAACUUAAUCAGACCUGCAAAGGCCCUAAGUCCCAAUCAGGUCAUGUUUACAAUGAAUGGGGGUUGGGCCUCAACGCAUGUCUUUGGGUGGUGGGGGGACUCAGUUAAACCCUUAGCUUAUGCUGUUGUGUCCAUGGAGACUCCCUUCUGGGAAAGUAUGUCUUUGUCAUACGUCCUUUAAGUAUUCCAAUUCCUGUGUCAAUGAUUUCUUAUUUUAAAAUUUCUACAUUUGACUUAGAGAAUGGUUUCGCUUUCCAUGUAGCUGGGCUGUAGGAAAAUAAGGCCCUGACUGACUAUAUGUGGACUGGGGUUUUCCAUUUCCAGAGAGAAUAAUGUCUCAGUGUGAGCUAAUAAACCGGCUUUCCACUUUGAUUCAUCUCAUGAUCUGUCUCUGCAAAGAGAGGAGCAAUUACCAUCUCUGUGCCAACAAAACCAAAUUUCUGAACUUCUAGAGGCUGAGGAAUAAACUUUGUGCUAAUUUACCAAGAUAACGACUAAUCAUAAGGAGCACAAGGCAGCUGUGGCAUCUGGGUAUUCCCCGGGCCAACGACCCAGUAUUACACUUGCCAUGUGGUCCCGCGUGAGGCCUGUUAUUUGUCUUGUUUUGGAUUUCCAAUAUAUGGGCUUUUGUUCUGUGUGAGGAAUAAGUAUUCCAAAGAGCGUUUGGUCCCCUUGGUAAAGCAAACAAAACUCCCAACCACAGACAAAAAGAGUUGAUUAAAACCAAGAAUGUUUCACAUCUUGUCUCAGAUUCAAACUUACUAAGAAAACAGAUAAUUUUUAAAGAAAAUUGGUAGGAUUGUUGGUAUAAUGAAGUAACCCAAUGCAUCAGUCAAAAGAAUCCUGAUCAUGGCAAAGUCUCAAAUCUCUGAGGUUAUGAAAUCAAAUUUCAGCAGAUUCAUUCUAGAGGACAGCGGGGUUUUCUUUUUCAAUUUUAAGUGAAUUAACUAGUGAGGAAAUGCAGUGCAGAUGUAUAACGUUUAUGACAGGCGGUGAAUCUGGCACCUUCCAUGGCAAUAAAACAGAGACACCUGCACCCUGUUCAGCUAAGGCAGAAGACACUGGCAUAAACAGUGGUUGUGUGAAGAUGAGGACCAGAUGACUGAUGGGGCUCUUUCAAGGGAGUGGCUGAGGUAGCAACUGACCAGAAGUGGGGGAGGUUAUUUAGUUGACCAGGGUCCAGAUGGCAGGCAGGCUUGCCUGAAGGGUAGCACUGUAGGGCAGUGGGGAGGAAAGGCAGGGUUAAGCUGACCUGGAGCAAAUCUCUCAGGACAGUGCUUCUCAGAUGCCAGUGUGCCCAAGAGAAUCACCGGGAGAGCUUUUUAAAAACACAGAUUCUGAUUCGGUACAUCUGGAGUGAGGCCCAUAUAUCUGCAUUUCUAUCAAGGUGAGGCAAAUGCUGCUGGUCUGUGAACCCCAUUGUGAGUAGCACAGUGCUAGAAAACACCUCAAAGCUGGGAGUCGCUACUGGAGUUAAUUUUCUGUGGAAACAGCGAGUCCUCAGAGAAAGAGGAGCUUGGGAAAGCAGUGUUAGGCUGUGUGUCUGUUAGCACGGUGCAGCUGCUAAUGGCAGGCAUCUGAGAGCCCAAUGUUAAUCACACCUAGCGAGUAGAAAGCUUAUAAGGGUUUCCCAGGGUUUUGCCAGUUGGGCAACGCCUCUCAGAAGGUAGAAAAGCCAGAUGGUUUUAAAUAGCUCGCUCUUAAAAAAAAAAAAAAAGUCUAUGGGGUGCCUGGGUGGCUCAGUCGGUUGAGCAGCCGACUUCGGCUCAGGUCAUGAUCUCAUGGUCUGUGAGUUCGAGCUCCGCGUCGGCCUCUAUGCUGACAGCUCAGAGCCUGGAGUCUGCUUCAGAUUCUGUGUCUCCCUCUCUCUCUGACCCUCCCCCGUUCAUGCUCUGUCUCUCUCUGUCUCAAAAAUAAAUAAUAAAACAUUAAAAAAAUUAAAAAAAAAAAAAAAACGUCUGGGGCACCUGGGUGGCUCAGUCAGUUAGGCGUCUGACUAUGGUUCUCGCCAUUCGUGACUUCGGGCCCCGCAUCAGGCUCUGUGCUGACAGCUCAGAGCCUGGAACCUGCUUUGGAUUCUGUGUCUCCCUCUGUCUGCCUCUCCCCUGCUUGCACUCUCUCCCUCUCUCUCUCUCUCAAAAAUAAAAUAAACAUUAAAAAAUUAUAUAUACAAAAACAAUGUCUGAGUUAGUUGGAUUCUAAGUUACAAGGACCUAUCAGGGAGCAUUAUUUUAUCAUCCCCUCAUUUGGCAUCUCCGAGUCAGUUAGCAUUAUUAUUAUUAUUAAAUAAUGAUGAAAGUUGUAACUACCCUUUACUGCAUGCCAACUGUGGGUCACAUGAGGUGCCCACCAUUUACAGUGGGGCCAUUCUCGUUAAACAUCUGUGGGCAUGUAGUAUUGUGCCAGGGUGUUUGGAGAAUCACAGGAUGACACGGUACCUCUCCUGGGAGUGUGAAUACUACUUAAACAUGUUGGAGAAAACCAGAAUUUUUCAUGUUAGAAUAAGCAUGCAAAUAUUACAGCAUAAAAGGCAGUCUUUCAUCCCCUUUGCUCUUACAAGGCAACAUUGAUACUCUUCCCAUCUAGUGGUAGGGUCUAUAUCUCUUCUCCAUGGACCUAAGUGGGCCUUUAUGACUAUACUAACAGAGUAUGGUAGAAAUGACACUGUGUGACUCCCGAGGCUAGGUCAUAAGAGUGCCAUGUUGGCUUGGGAUGCUCACCUUUGGAACCCAUCCACCAUGAUGACAGUAAGUCAAGUAGCCGAGGUAGAAGUCCAUGUGGAGAGGAACUGAGGCCCCCAGCUCUCAGCCCUGACCCCCCAUCCUACUGUCAGCACUAACUUUCCAGGCAUGAGAAUAUGGCAUCUGGGGAGUGAUUCUUCAGUCCCUACUCAAGUCCCCCCAGUUGCUAAUGUGUGAAGUAGAUAUGAGUGUUCCCCUGUAAGCCCUGUCCAGGUUAUACAUGUGUGAGGUAAAGAAAUGGUUGUUUUAAUCCACUUGGUUUUGGAGAAUCCACUUUGCUUGCAGAAAUAAGUAACUAGAUGGAUAGAGGCCGAUAGAUUGGCAGUUCUGUGAAGUGCCAUGGGAGUAGUGAUUUACAGGCCAGCCAGGCAGGAUCCCAGGCAGCCUGUAACCUUGUCACUCCUCUACCUAUGAACUAUGGAUAGAGGAGUACCGAAGCAUGUACCAGAGCACAGAAGAGGAGUGCACUGGGGUUGGAGGCCACUGAGGCAAAAAUAAGGAGAAAGUGUAUUCUCUACACUUGAAAGGGUCAAAAGGUCUUUUAAUGUUCUUGAAGACCAGUUUUCCCUAGGAAAGAAUUAAGUAAAAAAAAAAAAAAAAAAAAAAAAAUAAUAAUAAUAAUAAUAAAGAGGAAAUCCACUUGGAUUCACUUGAAAUAAAGCUGCUGGGAUGAAAUCAAUGUAAAAACAAGACUUGAGAAAUGGUAACCGUGGAGAGAAGAGAUCAAUCUUGGUAGAGGCUUGCAUUGCAAUGUAAAAAACAUGUUAGAAUCUAAAUGAAGCAAUUGCGGUCAUAAGCACUGGAUGUUAACUUUGACAGUGGAGGAAGCACACAAUUAGGAUGAUUCUGAUCCAAGCAAGGGGUUGCUGGAGGGCAGAAGGAUGGGGAGACCAAGAGUAUUUGCCAGAGAAAAACACUGCCUGGAGCAGGGAGGGCAGAGACUUGGAUGGAGACACAUUCAUUCAGGAACGUGGGAGACACAGCUCACACAAGACGUGGUCUGGGGGACAUCAUCCUUCCAUUAGCUGUAGGAACUCUCAGAACAAACCGUUUCAUCUCCUGAGCCAACGGCCUUAAAGCUUUAAGUAGCCUGAGUUCAAACUCUAAUGUGUAAAACACGACGUCAGAUGUGUCCCCUUGUUCUCUGGUCCCCUGUCCUUCUGGUGUCCCUCUUUGAAGGUCAGAGCCUGUUACUCUUACUGUGCCGUGAGCCCCACUGGAGGCAGGGAGGUAUCUCCUCCACACUGCGGAUGCUGGGAAACAGCUUGUUGAUUGCCUGGAUGAGUGCAAGCGUAUGGGAAGGAACCCAGCACCCACUGGUGGAGGGGAGCGCCUGCGGAAGGAGAGGGCAAUGGGUGUGCUGGGCUGGGAUACCAGGGGUGGGGAUGCCAGGAGGUCAAGUUUCAGGAAGUCCAAAGCCUUGCUUAAGACCUUCUAAGUCAAGUGCUGAUAAGACAGGAAGUCUAACCGGUCUUUUUCAGUUUCCCUCGCCCUCCUCUGGGGUGGGGGUGGGGGGUGCCUAUGAGCAGGAAAAUGACCCACAGAAGAGGAGGAGUUGAAAAAAUCCAGAUGACUCCCUAACUGGAGCCUGAAAGGGGCUGGGCCACCAUCCUGCAGAACCGCAUUCCACACCCUUCUAGGGCUGCCCAUUCCUUUUUGCCAGUCAGGGCUCUGGCCCUCCAGCUAGGCAGCCCUGGGUGCGGGCGGACAGGACAGCCUCUUGAUCCUGCGGCCUGCCUGCCACAUGCCCAGUCACCUCUGGUGACCCAGAGUCCCCGAUGGUGGGGAACCCCAGAUGUCGCUCUGAAAUCAGAACAUUUGCAAGCUAGGGACGACCCAGGCAGUGCGCCCCAACCCCUUUCUUUUAUAGCCAGGGGAAUCCAGGGAUCUGAAAUGCUAAGCAGCUUAUUCGAGGUGGUGGUGAGCGGGACAGGAGGUAACAUUUCCUCGCCCGGGUUUCCACCACAGCCCAUGCCAUCCAUGACUGCCUCCCUCCAGAGAGAACUUUGAUGGUCGCAGAGCAGGGUUCUCUGCCAUCUCCCUGCUUUGUCUCUGUUUACCCUCCCCAAGGUGGAAGGAAGUGGGUUUUCUACCCUCUUCAUCCCUGUGUUUAUCUCCAUCCUCCCCUGCAAGGCAGCGGUGUUUGGGGGGGGGGGGGGGUGGUGCGGGGAGGGGUGGGUAAACAUAAGUUCCCAUCGAAGUUUGGCUAUGAGAUAUCACCUGCAUGACAAAUAAGACUUGGUACAGUGGAGAUCCCUCUCUGUAGAAUGUGGGGAUCCUGGGUGCUGUGGGUUCAGUUGUGCUCUCCAAAAGAUAGAUUGAAGUCCUAACCCCAGGUACUUGUGAAUGGAAAUAGGGUCUUGGCAAACGUAAUGAAGAUGUAAGUUAAGGGGCACCCAGCUGGCUCAGUCGGUAAAGCAUAGGACUCUUGAUCUGAGGGUCAUGAAUUCAAGCCCCACUUUGGGCGUGGAGCCUACUUACUUAAAAAAUUAGGGCACCUGGGUGGCUCAGUCAGUUAAGUGUCAGAAUUUGGCUCAAGUCAUGAUCUCACGGUUUGUGGGUUCAAGCCCCACUUGGGGCCCUGACAGUUUGGAGCCUGAAGCCUGCUUCGGGUUCUGUGUCUCCCUCUCUGCCCCUCUCCUGCUCAUGCUCAUGCUCUGUCUCUCUCUCUCAAGAAUAAAUAAACAUUAAAACAAAAUUUUUUAAAAAGUGUUAACGUCUGUUUAAAAAAAAAGGUGUAAGUUAAGAUGAGGUUGUGCUGGAGUUGUGUGGACCAGUGCACAGGCCAAUGAAUAUUUUUCCUUUUUAAAAAUUGUUUAUUUACUUAUUUGGGGGGAAGGGGUAGAAAGCGAGAGCUAGAGUGAGAGAGAGAGAGAGAGAGAGAGAGAGAAUCCUAAGCAGUGUCUGUGCUGUAAGCAUGGAGCCCAACGUGGGGCUCAAACCCACAAAUCGGAAGAUUAUGACCUGAGCCUAAAUCAAGAGUUGGAUGCUUAACCGCCUAAGCCUCCCAGGCGCCCUAAUAUUUUUCCUUUUGUAAAAUUUAUUUUUCUUGAGUGACUUGUAAAAGCAGCUUUAUUGAGUUACAAUUGACAUAUGGUAAUGAAUUGCACGUGUAAGUAAAUACCCAGAAACAGUCACCCCAUCAAGACAGUGAGCAUAUACAUCACACUUGGAAAUUUCCUCUUGCAUCUAUAUUUUCUUAUUAGCUACUGAGACAGAACAGAUUGAUGAGUUGGGCUGCAGACGUGUAACAAGUUGAUUUAUACCUUCAUGGUUACUUCUCGAGGCAUCUCUAGUUUCUAAAAAGCCAGGAGGAAGGUGACAAAAUUUAAGGCUUUUCUACUAUGAAGUCUUAUUAAUCACCUAAAUUUCCAAUGAUUAAAUAUUUGACCUCAAGGGGCUUUUGAUAAGAUUAAUUGGAAGGCAUUUGCCGUAGAAAAUUUAUUUUGCUACACUGUAAAGCUUCUAGUGUCACAACAUCUGGUCCUGGGAAUUUGACUCAAAGAAUCAAGGACUCUUGGAAAAAAACAAACAGAACUUCCAAGGAAUUUUAGGAUUUCCUUUGUUUAUGAGCCAUAAUUCCAGGAGGAAGGAAAUGAACACUUAUUAAGUGCCUUCUAUAUGUCAAGCACUUUACAUAAAAUAAAUAAUUUAAUCCUCACAAAUAACCAGAGGCAGAGAGGGGAUUACCACCACGUUUACAAAAGGGGAAAUAGGAUCUGAGAGUCUAAGCGACUUGCCUGAGGUGACAUAGCAGGGGGCAUGAGCUGGAAUUAAAACCCAGAGCUCUACGAUUCGAUUCGAGACCAUCCUUUUCAUAUCAUGAAUUUACCCUCUGCUCCCCACCCCUGGACAGAUUGACUUAGAUAGACAUAGCUACACACACACAUAUAUGCAUACAUAGGAGGAUGUGCUAUAUGUUCCAUUUUUAAAACCUCCAGACGCACCCAGCUGACUCAGUUGGAAGACUGUGUGACUCUUGAUCUUGGGGUCGUGAGUUUGAGCCCCAGUUGGGU